UACGUAGGGGGCUAGCGUUGUCCGGAAUCAUUGGGCGUAAAGCGCGUGUAGGCGGCCCGGUAAGUCCGCUGUGAAAGUCGGGGGCUCAACCCUCGAAUGCCGGUGGAUACUGUCGGGCUUGAGUACGGAAGAGGCGAGUGGAAUUCCUGGUGUAGCGGUGAAAUGCGCAGAUAUCAGGAGGAACACCAAUUGCGAAGGCAGCUCGCUGGGACGUAACUGACGCUGAGACGCGAAAGCGUGGGGAGCAAACAGG
rnacentral:rRNA from 1 species